rnacentral:rRNA from 1 species
CGCGUAGGAACUGCCCUAAAGUGGGGACGAACUACGGGAACGUACGAGCUAAUACCGCAUAAUCUCUACGGAGAAAGACUGCCCUUUCGUGGUGGCGCUUUAGGAGGUGCUUGCGUCCGAUUAGCUAGUUGGUGGGGUAAAAGCCUACCAAGGCGACGAUCGGUAGCUGGUUUGAGAGAACGAUCAGCCACACUGGGACUGAGACACGGCCCAGACUCCUACGGGAGGCAGCAGUGGGGAAUAUUGGACAAUGGGCGCAAGCCUGAUCCAGCAAUGCCGCGUGUGUGAAGAAGGCCUGAG